AAACAAUAUUGUAAAAAAUCUGAAACGUAUAUUAAGACGUUGUAUUUUUAGAAUUUUAUUUCUACAUGUAUAUUGCAAAUUAUCGAGAUCUAAUUUUAUAUAUACUUAUGUUUUUUAUGAUUUUUGAAUCUCAAUGUGUCACACACUAGAAAAUUUGGGCCCCCCUCGGAAAAAUUGCUGGUUCUGCCGCUGUCUUGCAUAUACUACAAAGAAUAAUGAUAUUAAUAUAACAAUUCUACAACCUAUAAAUGUGACAGCCACUUCAUAAAAAAUACCAAAGUUUUUGUAAUUUUGAAUUUUACACAAAUGUCCU